UACGGAGGGGGCUAGCGUUGUUCGGAAUUACUGGGCGUAAAGCGCACGUAGGCGGAUUUGUAAGUCAGGGGUGAAAUCCCGGGGCUCAACCCCGGAACUGCCUUUGAUACUGCGAAUCUCGAGUCCGGAAGAGGUGAGUGGAAUUCCUAGUGUAGAGGUGAAAUUCGUAGAUAUUAGGAAGAACACCAGUGGCGAAGGCGGCUCACUGGUCCGGUACUGACGCUGAGGUGGCGAAAGCGUGGGGAGCAAACAGG
rnacentral:rRNA from 1 species